UUAUGUUCCCAAAAAAAACGGUAUGUUCUCCUAAAAAAAAAAAAAACUUCAUCCUCAAAGACGAGGGCUUAAUUACUUAUUUGAAAAGUGCAUGCUCUUGCUGAAGUCUGUUAAAAUGAGGAGAUAAUAAUGGCUGACAAAGGAACUUCUCCCAGCGUGAACAAACAGCGGUGUCUGGGUCCCAAUACACAUCUCAAUACACAUCUCUCUGAGCUGCCCAGAGGUCGAUGACUUUUCUAAGAAAAGUCUGAUCGCUGAUGAGAACGGCAGGAAAGGAGCUUGGACUGCGCACUAAUUCCCAGAUUUAAACUAAAGGGUCACAAGUGUCAUCCACCAAGUCAACCACAUACAGGGAUCUGGGGGGGGGCGCUUUAUUCCACCUCUUAUAGGCAAAGACGGGCAUUGGACAAUACAAGAAAAAUAUACACCACCUGGCUGGUUAUUUAGUGGCUCAUAACCUGACAAACAUAAUAAUCUGUAUCACUGGUUGUACAAGGUGAACUAAAGUUUAUUUGAUAAAUGUAGUAUUUGUGCAGUGUGUGGUUUACCAUCACUCGAAGGAAUAAUUGUGAAGGUCACAAUGUUUGCGUUCUUUUCAGAAAAUGCUUUAAAUGCAAUGAAUAAUACAGAAUGUUUUGUGCAGCCUCUGGGCCCUACCUGUACGCAUUCUAUUCAUAUUGUCCCACUCAGCUAAUGCCUUUUGAAAUAAUUCCCUAGACUGGCGCCAGAUACGGAAUAGAACAUAGCUUAAAACCUUUCUGUUAAACCAACAGAAUUAAAAAUGGUGGCGUAAUUGCAAGUCGGGCAUAUUUAUAGAAUGCAUUUAGAAAAGCUGCAGACCUCCUUAGAACUGUUUAGAAAACCUAGUUCGCUUUACAUUAUGCAUUCAUAAAUGUUACGUAGGCAAUAUAACCGGCGUGUAGAGAAAACACUGGAGCUUCCUUUACUCCACAUAAGCUAAGUAAUGAUCUGAAGAAGUCUUACUGAAAUUAUAGUAAAUACAUUGAUGUACAGAUUAAUAUACUAAAUUAAUAUGUGUGUUUUAUACAGCAUGUCCUGUUAAACGAAUCUAUUUUAUUUGGGGUGUUUUUUGUACAAUUGUUUUCAGUGUAAUGGCGCGACUGUACUUGCGAUUGUCAAUGUGAAUGCAUUAUUUUUUAAAUUCCAGCAAAAACGAUUUAGAUUUUUUUGUAUUUCAAAAUGUAUAAAAAAGAUACAGUUAUUUUUAUGUGUAGGUUGACAUUAAAACGCAUGUGUAUUUUUUCGAAACAUCUCGGCAUACACUACUGUUUUAAAUUGAAUUGAGCACAAAAUAAAUGUUCAAACCGAAAAACAAUUACCGUUGAAGAAAACAACAUCUUUAUGGGCAUAAACCAAAGUUAGCAGAACAAAUAAACAUGAGCAAAUGUAUUUCAAACUAUCAGCUUUGUAUUAAGGUAUGGAACUUAAAACUCUGUCUCCUACUAAUGCAGUUAAAAAAAACAAAAAAAAAACAAAAAAAAAAUAA